rnacentral:rRNA from 1 species
UGGGGGAUAUUGCGCAAUGGGCGAAAGCCUGACGCAGCGACGCCGCGUGGGUGAUGAAGGCCUUCGGGUCGUAAAGCCCUGUCGAGGGGGACGAAUCAGUUUGGUCCUAACACGACCAGACCCUGACGGUACCCCUAAAGGAAGCACCGGCUAACUCCGUGCCAGCAGCCGCGGUAAUACGGAGGGUGCAAGCGUUGUUCGGAAUCACUGGGCGUAAAGGGCGUGUAGGCGGUCCGCUAAGUCUGAUGUGAAAGCCCGAGGCUUACCCUCGGAAGUGCAUUGGAGACUGGCGGACUGGAGUCCCGGAGAGGAGGGUGGAAUUCCUGGUGUAGCGGUGAAAUGCGUAGAUAUCAGGAGGAACACCGGUGGCGAAGGCGGCCCUCUGGACGGUGACUGACGC